GGGUCGCUGGCUGUUACCAGGACAACCAGAGACAAUUGACAAUUAUCCCUGGUUUGGCGCUUUAGCUGGAGAAUCUGAGCCUCUCGGAGGUCUCUUGGGAUGAGCGGGAAAAAGUAAGAGGAUCCUUUCAAGAGAAAAAUUUCCUAUCGGGUUACCCAGUCGUGCACUUCGGCCGGAACGCCUUCUCUGAGGAUUUGGGUCAUGCCUCCCUGUUUUUGGAGACUUUCUGCCAAGCGAGGUGGCCCAGCGGCUCCUGUCAUUCCUUUACUUUCUGCCCCCUCUUAGAAAAUGUGCUGAAGACCAUGUAAGCAUGGAGGAAGAGGCCAUCUUUGCUGUCACUUGGAGGCUUGCCUGAAACUGAAACUAAAAAAAACAACCUGGGAGACAGAAAAACAAGUCCUGCCGCUGCUGGUGCCCAGGGAUUCACACAAGCCUAAAGACAAGCUUUUGCCCCUGAACUCGUAGUUAAAUGAGCCGAUAAACCUUCCGUUAUGCUUAAAUUUGAGUUUUACCUGGAUUUUUGUCAUUUCCUAUUCAAAACAUCCUAUACAGAUCCUGAGUUCUUCCUCCCUACUCCUUCUCCAGCAGCAUGUGGCAGUUCCCAG